GCGCUGGCUUUGGCAGCACAUACACUAGCACUGGAAUGAUACAGCGAGGAUUAACAUGACCCCUCUGCAAGGAUGACAUAGCGAUUUGCAAAGUAUCCCAUAUUAAA
rnacentral:snRNA from 1 species